AUGUGUGUGUGGGUGUGAAGAUGUUCGAUUACGAUUACAAGUUGAGACACCUGUCGUCUCUUUUCUUUCCUUGUAAUGUUUUGGUCUCUCCUCCUCCUCAAAACCCAACUUCUGAUAACUAAAAUUUUCAUUGGAUAGCAAUUCAUUUCUCUGUAUUUCCGUAAUUAAUUAAUAAGUUUCGAUUAUAUAGCUAGGGUUGAUGUGAGAUUUGUAUAUCUAGAUGGAUCUAUUUCUAUGUUGGUUUUGAGAGGCUGAAGCUGCCAGCAUGAUCUGGUAAUCGCUACAUACGACAUAUAUACAUAUACAUACUAAUUUAAUUUACACAUGUAUCAAUGUAUCCAGGGCCGGCUGAGGCGCAGGUACAAGGGGGCGUGGACCCAGGGUCCAAAUUUUUUUUUUCAUAAUUAGUGUUAAAAUGGAGCUUGAUUUUCAAAAAAAAAAAAUUUAAAAGAGUCCAAAAUUUUUAAUUUAUUUAUAGAGUAUAUGUAAAACUUUUUUUUUGAAAAAUUAUUUUGUCCAAGGGCCUAUAAUUUACAUGAGCUGGCCCUGGAUGUAUCUCUCAAAUUAAUAUAAUCUUAGUGUUAAAAAUGUGUUUUCUCCUCUUUUUCAUGGAUGCAUGCAUGUAUGUGUGUGUAUAAGUGUAUAGAUAGUGGUACCAGAUCAUCCUGCGGCUUCAUUCACUCAAAUCACCAACAAUGAACUUAAGCUUCUUAAGAAAAACGAUUCCAGCUGUCGACUUUUACGACUUCCCUCUGUUAUCACUGGAGGUAACAAUACAUUUGCUUAUCUCUUUCUACUUCCUUAUAAAUCCAAUCAUUCAUUCUUCUUUUCUUUUCUUUUAUUUUUGGACGAGCGUCUUCAAUCAUUCAUGCUUGUUGUAUUACAUCUUAGUUCUGGAAACUAUACGCAUAUAUGUAUCUAAUUUUAUAUGAUAUAUAUAAUUACAUAUAUACAAUGACGCAAACAGUCAUAUAUGAUUUAGUUACUGUUUAUAUAUAUGACCAUGUCCACAAGCUCACGUUUGUUGGUAGGAACGCGUUUACAUGUGACUGUGUUUGCCAAGACCUAUGUCAAGCUUUAUAAUUUUAUAUUCAUAUAAUAUAUCUAGUGAUAAUAAAGAAGAAGGUGUAUUAGUUUGGUGAAAAGACGCAUUAGUAUCCAUCUUAUUAGUAAUUUUAAUGAUUCCAGAAUCAGAAAAAUAUGAAUGUCAAACUUUUAAUUUUUAAGAAGUAAAAAACAAAAUAUUGUUUUGAUUCUAACUUAACAAUGUUUAAAACAUUGGCAAUUAAGUGUUUAUUGUUUAUCCAACACGUAAGAUGGUUGCACUGACUCUUAUCAUGUCUUAUUAUUCAACACGUUACUACUUACUACAAACAACUCAAAUAAUAGAAAAGUUUGCUACAAUAUUUUGAUUUAAGCGUUGUGUUUGCUAUGCAAUGAGAACUAAUAGAGCAAACUUGCUUGGACGCAUUAAGCUGGAGCUUAUUUUGAAAUACAAGUUUGGGUCUUAAAGUCCCCCAUCUAAUAAGAUAGAAACGAUCAUUAUCCUUGGUUUCAGAAACACCUAAGAACAGUCUUGCAGACUAUUACUGUUUUAUUUUUUCUUGUUUGGCACUUGGAAGAUCUUUAUUGUAUAUUGACUAAGGAUCAAGCCUUCUAUAGUAUAGUUUGUGACAUAAGUAACCAGUGGUUGGUGUAGAUUCUCUGCGUUGAUCAGCACGAGAAAAAACUCGCCAACUCCAGCCUUUAUUUCCAAGAUCUUUCAUUUGGAACUGGAGAACACAUGACCCAUGGAUUGUAUUAAGAUCAUGCAUAUUAUUUUUCCUUAAUUAUACUUGCAUCCUUUAUGUCUUUUGUUCAUUCGUAAGGAUUUAGUAGUUUCUCGAAACAAUGGUGAUGAUUGGUUCGACUAUGUCUUUAAAAAUUUAGAUGUAGAUGAUUAGAUGUAGAUAAAUCGGUUGUAACUGUAAAGUUGUUACUGUAGACUUUUUCUGCAGAGACGUUUGUUGUAGUUAAAUUUGUUGUAGCUGUAAGCUGUAGGCUGUAGAUAUUUUAAAAUAAAAUAUAUAAAAUAUGUGUGUAGGGUUUUUGCCUAAAAUACAUAAGAUAAAGUUUUGUUUUAUUUUUUUUGAUGUAGCUUUAAAAAUAAAGCUAAAGCAUGAUUGAUAAAACUAAAUAAAAACUUGAUGUAGACUUUAAUUUUUAAAAGUAAAGCUACAACAUGAUUGAUAAAAUUUAGUGAUUUAAAAAUAAAUAAAGUUAAAGUAGAGAGAUAAAGUUCAACCAAUCACUCCCGAUAAAUACUACGCCCUUUUAUAUAUGUUUUAGAACUUUUUAAGAAAUUAUCUAUGCAAACUGUAUACUCCUUUUUUUAAUGAAUGUUUGUAACAUGCAGCAGUCUUUUCUAUUGAUUGGAUUUUUUUGUAGGUAUUACUUCACUGUAGAAACUUUAUCACGUAUGGCUUCGUAAUUUCAACGCUUUUAACCAAAAAGUCUUAAUAAAGAAAACAUAUGCAAUUGCUUAAUAGAAGAACAACAUUGUAAUCUGUAUCACAAUUCACACUAUUAGUAUAUAUUUCGUGGUAAUUUAAUAUUUGAUCUCGUAACAAUAGUAGACGGAUACUACUCGCAGUUUAUGGAAAAUGAUGUUGGUUUGAGCUAAGUUUUGGACUUUUAAUACAAAGAUUUCUAACGUUGAUAAGGAAGAAUUAUCCAUCUUUAUAAUAUUAUCCGAGAAAUCAGUUUUUAAAUGGCGUAUUCACUUUAGUUUUUAUGACAGUUAAAUAUAGAAAUAUCAUUAAUGAAUUAAAAAUUCAUUUAAAUACCAGUACUAAAUUUUAAUUUAAUGAUAUAUUUUAAUUAGAUUUUAAGUUUAGUUUCCGUUUUAUUUUUUCUAAGAACAUUUAUACUAAUAAAGUUGUUUUUUUUUCCUUCUUAGAAUGCCACAUCAUCAGUUAGAAGGGGGCAAAUGCUGACACGUCAGUUUCUCUAUCUGAAAACGCAAAUGUUUCGUCUCUUCGAGAAUUUCUUAAUGGGCCAGUUAUUAUAGCUACUACACGACACUAAACUUAGUCUCAACGUUAUAAUUGCAUGUUUGACCAUUUUGUAAACGAUAGGCUACUAGGUGAAUUUAAUUAUAACGAGAAGCCCAUCUACGUUUUGUAGUCUUAUUCUUCCUGAACCUUUUGUUGUCUAACCGAAGAAGAACGCAGAGUGACGAUUGAAAAUUAUUUCCUUCGAUUUUCAAAGACAAGUAACGCCUUCCUAUAGCAUUCAAUUGCUCCCUGUAAUGAUUGCAAUAACAACCAUUAAACCACUCUCUCCACUCCUUCGUAUUGAUUUCAUUAUACAUCCAUGGUAACGCCAGAAUGUCUAAAACCUAGGGUUAUAAAUACGCUGGAGGCAGGACAUGUCAAUAAUCUCUCCCAAAAAAACAUUCUAAACUUUUGAAUCCAAGCUCACCUACCUCCGAUGGCCACCUCACGUAUCAUUCUCAAUAAUUAGAAAGCCGGGCGUUGCUCUAACAAAGCGGAGAUCCGUAUGCUCUGAAUCUGGGAAGCCCGUAACGUCAAGAAAGGAGGUAUAAAAAGUGGGAUUCAAUCCGCUGACAUAUGAGGUAUUUGCUCUCCACUGCGAUGUUAGUAUAUCAAUCCAUCCAAUUGGUUAAUCUAAAGUUUGUCACCAAGGUCAACAAUUUACUUUCAUUCUUUGCCGUUUGUAUAUUAUGAGUUAAACAAAUGAAGGGAUAUGAUCAACUCAUUCAGUUUUGAUUAUAAUGUAUAUUAAGAACUUUAGUGCAUUUCAGCAAAAGUUGACUAUGGAAGAUCAAAACAAGCCCUUCACUACAACCAGAGGCCAUGCCGGCCAGAUUGUGGGAAGAAAAAACUCAGAAAAAGUAAGAAUGAGGAAAAAGAAGGGCUCACUGGUUACUGGUACUUUCCAAAACCAGAUCUUCCAGAAAUAAUACUCGCCCAAGAAUACUUUGAUAGCAGCCGAGCUUCUUAGCCGGAGAUAAUGUUUCAGUCAUUGGCCAAAGAUGGAACUAUCCAAGUAAUGAAAAAAUCAUAGACUUUGUUCAGGAAAGUAUAUGCUAUGCUAAUCAGAUAAAUACAUAAUUUAGUUUCAUGCGAGGCAUUUUUAAAACUUCAUUGAUAACAUAUUUCAGGCUUACCUUACUGUAAAAUGAUUUUAGCUAUUGUGUGAUAUAUGUUACAGAUAACCGAUCAUGUGGAGAUUGAGAUAAAGGUUAUGAUUAUUGUCUACGAAUCUCAGAGAUAGCUUAAGCAGAACGUAGGUGAGAAAAUCAAAUAUUCACGGCUCUUCAUCAGCCAGGAAUGGCAAAUACGACCAGCCUUUUUCUUGAUUCAGCCCACUGAUGUAUGUUUGGGUGAUUGCAAAAUUACCAGUGUAAACAUUUCAACUGACCCCACAUAUUAUGUUUUCCCACUUGAAACAAAUGAACUCGAUAUAGUUGCCACAUGAGAAAAUAAUUUAAAAUUCAGACCUCUCUA